rnacentral:lncRNA from 1 species
CGCGGCCAUGGUCCUCUCCCACCGCCGCUUCCUCCUUCCACCCCGGCCUCUUUGCCAUCGGCGCCGUCGCACCACUGCCGGCCCCUGCUCGAGCUGGUCAGGCGGCGUGCAGAUCCGCCACUGCCACAGCGUCGUCGUCCUCCACAACCACGCAGCGGCUCCUCGCCCGCGACCCUCUUCUCCAGGUAUGAGUCCCUCCUCUUCUCCCCUAAUUCCUUGUGGUUCCCGUCCAUCUCCGCGUCUGACUCAUGCGUGCGUUCAGUUUGGGGGCAAGGAAGGAGAAGCCUUUCUCGCUCGAUCUGGCGAGGAUGGAUGCGCAGCAAGGUCAGGUCGCCACCAUCUCUCCCCCUCCUUUCGUUUUCUCGGUUUUGGUUUCGAUUUGCUUCUCUUCCCUUCCCUUCCCUGACGCGGUUCGUUUCCUCACUGCACAGGUGCACCACCGUGAUGAUGGGGACUCAUUCUUGCUGCCACGAUUCGUCUCGUCGUCCUCCCCGGCAUUCGCAUAGGUGCUAAGCCACUGCCCCAUUUCACUAGUGCACUACUAAAGGCUGAUUGAUUGGUUGUUAAACUAGAAGCUUAACUUUCUUGCCGCAAAUCACUGCUUGCAGAUGGCCAUGAAAUCUGACCAACUGCUAGCUACUUACACGCAUGCUUACAACGCUAGUUUCCAGUGAGGAAGCACUCAGUACAGUUGAUUGGGUUUGCGAUGUGCAGGUCAGGCUCGUGGGGACGGUGAGUGGCAAGGCGGGGAGGAACACGGAUAUGUCACUUCAUCAGAUGGUGAGUUAAUUUCGGCAAAGCGCAAGCUUUUAUUCAAGUUCUAGAUGCGUCUUAGGG